UGGGAUAUAACUCAGCAGCACAGUGCCUGCCUGGCAAGCAGGAGGCUAUAAAUUCGAUUCCUGGUAUCCCCA
rnacentral:tRNA from 1 species